CUUCUCACAUGCUCCCGUGAGGUGCUGCUGCUGCUGGCCCAUGGACCACACUUUGAGUACCAAGUCUCAAGGAUCUACCCAAUCUUGGUCAGCAGAUAAACCGUCUGAAGCCAUUCCCUCCACUGGGGAAAAACAGGAGAUUAUAGAAUCAAGUUUGCAUUCGGCUCCAUAUAAGCAGAACUGGACAACAUUUGGCUGAAAUGAGAUAAAUGGUAACUUAUUGAAAAGCCCCUACCCUGAAGAGGCUUGUGUACAACACACUGGUCAGAUCUGGGACACCCCUGGUAGCUUGGGAGUGUGAUAAGUUGAAGGCCUGAAUGACUGAAGAAGCUGACCCUCCUGCUAAUAAGAUGAAAUGCCUCUCUAUCUGACUUCAUCAAGCUAUGAUCUCAGCCUUCCUCUACCUUCAGACUCAAACUCAGACUGAAACUUAAUACCAUUGGCUCUCCUAGUUCUCAGGUAUUCGGACUCAGACUAAAACCAUAUCUUUGGUUCUCCUGGGUUUCUAGCUUGCUGAUUUCAUAUCCUUGAACUUCUCAGCCUACAUUCUCAUAUGAGCCAAUGCCUUCUAAUACAUAUAUUAAUAUAUCAAAUAUAAUAAAAUACAUACACAUGCACAUAUCAGGGGACUUCAAUAAAUUACUGAAAAUGCAUAUAGAAAACUAUGAAUGGAUUUUCAACUUUUGUGCACCAAAAUAAACUCAUGCUAACUUGUUAUAAUGUAGCUGAAUAGGAUCUACUAUAAGGUAUCAUGAAGGAAAAGACAUCAGUUUGACCCCCUAUCAGAGCUACAUGAAUUCAGCAAAAAUUAAAGCAAGAAAAAAUAUCAAAUGUGUGAUGAAGCUUGGUUGGAAUGAUGGUAAAAUAAUUGAUGUUUUAUAGUAAGUUU